rnacentral:rRNA from 1 species
AUUGAACGCUGGCGGCAUGCCUAACACAUGCAAGUCGAACGAGAUCUUCGGGUCUAGUGGCGCACGGGUGCGUAACGCGUGGGAAUCUGCCCUUUGGUUCGGAAUAACAGUUGGAAACGACUGCUAAUACCGGAUGAUGACGAAAGUCCAAAGAUUUAUCGCCAGAGGAUGAGCCCGCGUAGGAUUAGCUAGUUGGUGUGGUAAAGGCGCACCAAGGCGACGAUCCUUAGCUGGUCUGAGAGGAUGAUCAGCCACACUGGGACUGAGACACGGCCCAGACUCCUACGGGAGGCAGCAGUGGGGAAUAUUGGACAAUGGGCGAAAGCCUGAUCCAGCAAUGCCGCGUGAGUGAUGAAGGCCUUAGGGUUGUAAGGCUCUUUUACCCGGGAUGAUAAUGACAGUACCGGGAGAAUAAGCUCCGGCUAACUCCGUGCCAGCCGCCGCCGUAAGAC